CCCGCCAGCGUCUCUCUCUCCUCCACUGAGCUCCCCCUUUCCUCCUGUCCUCUCUCUUUCUCCAUCUCUUCCUCAUGACACCGUACGCGGUGGCGCCGCUGGCCUCCCUUCCCACCACCGCCCCUCUCCGCUGCCUCCUCCUCUCUUCUUCUCAUCGUGUUCCUCGCCUCCUACGACCCAGACCCCAUUCUAAUGGAACUCCAAGCCCCGUCCUCUCCGCCGCUCCCCGCCGCUGCCCUCCCUCUGCCGCUUCCGCCGUCGACUCUCCCACGCCCUUCCCCUCCAACCAGACCUCCAGAUUCCAGCAGUGGGACUCGAUGACCGCCAAGUUCGCCGGCGCGUCCAACGUCCCCUUCCUCCUCAUCCAGCUGCCCCAGAUCCUCCUCAACUCCCGCAACCUCCUCGCCGGCAACAAGGCCGCCCUUUUCGCCGUCCCCUGGCUCGGGAUGCUCACUGGCCUGCUGGGGAACCUGACGCUGCUAUCCUACUUCGCUAAGAAGAAGGAGACCGAGGCCAUCGUGGUGCAGACUCUGGGUGUCGUGUCCAUCUACGUCGUCAUAGCGCAGCUAGCCAUAGCCGGGGCCGUGCCCGUGCCCCACUUCACGGCGAUCUCGGCCGUUGUGGCGUCUGGACUUGUCUUGAACUUUAUGAAUUACUUCAACUGGAUCGGCCAGGGCGUGUGGCUGCUUUGGGAGGAUUUCAUCACCAUCACCGGGCUCACUGUUCUUCCUCAGGUCAUGUGGUCGACAUUUGUUCCGUUCAUCCCCAACAGCAUUUUGCCGGGAACCAUAUCUUGCAUCAUGGCAGUUGCGGUUGUCAUUACGGCACGAACUGGAAAACUAUCUGAGAAGGGAGUGAAAUUCGUAAGGUCGAUAUCUGGAUGGACUGCCACUCUACUGUUCAUGUGGAUGCCCGUUGCCCAGAUGUGGACAAGCUAUCUCAAUCCAGAUAACAUUAAAGGCUUAUCAGCUUUCACUUUAUUGCUUGGCAUGAUUGGAAAUGGUCUUAUGGUCCCACGGGCACUAUUUAUUCGGGACCUGAUCUGGUUCACUGGUGCAUCUUGGGCAUCAUUUCUGCAUGGGUGGGGGAAUUUGGCUUGGAUGUACUGUCUCAACAGUAUUAGCAGGGAGUUUUUCUUGGCGGCAACACUGGGUUUGUUCAUAUGGAUAGCAAUUGCUGUGUGGAGAGACACUAUAGCCUAUGGAUACAGUUCGCCAGUGAAAUCCUUAAAGGAAUUAGUUUCUGGACGAUAAUGCACAUUGACUGGCGUUUGCUUCCAGUAAUCACACGGUUCUUCAACUGCCAGAGCUUGUUGUGGUCCAAUUGUUGAUUCCUGGCUCCUAAGGCUUCCAAGGUUAAGCAAUGAAGGGGUCUAAGAAAGCAAGGCAAAUGUAAUAGAAAUGAGAAUGUAGAAAUGGAAGCUGUAAACUUGGAAAGGAUCCGGUGAACAAUGAGUAUAUUAGAGGAGUUGUAAAAGUUAACCUGAAUUGAGGACAAAGUACUGGAAAAGCAAAUGAGAUGCUAUGAUUUUGUACCCCCAAAAAAGACAUUGAGGAGGUACCUGAGUCUUAUUCUCGGAAGAGGAGGGAAAGACUUAAAAGUACCAUAGAGACUGCAAGGAAGGGGCUGGAAAAUUUGACAUGCCAAAGUUAGCCUUUUCUAUUAAGCAUUUCCUAUUAAGGUUAGUACAAUGACACGUAGUUGACUAACAUAAGGUUGGAAGCCUUUUCUAUCAAGCAUUUAUUGAAACUCAUGAAUUUCAAUUUUCUUGAAUACAAAGCAGUAUUCUAGACAUGGAUGGUACCUGAUAUAGAAAUGCGAACUGUUGGUACUAUAUAUGUAUGAAUAUGCUUGUAGUUGAAUAAGAU